rnacentral:rRNA from 1 species
GGAGGAUCCGAGCGUUAUCCGGAUUUAUUGGGUUUAAAGGGAGCGUAGGCGGGGGCUUAAGUCAGUUGUGAAAGUUUGCGGCUCAACCGUAAAAUUGCAGUUGAUACUGGGUCCCUUGAGUGCGGCAGAGGCAGGCGGAAUUCGUGGUGUAGCGGUGAAAUGCUUAGAUAUCACGAAGAACUCCGAUCGCGAAGGCAGCUUGCCGGACCGUAACUGACGCUGAUGCUCGAAAGUGCGGGUAUCAAA